rnacentral:ncRNA from 2 species
UACGGAGACUGCAAGCGUUAUUCGGAUUCACUGGGCGUAAAGGGUGCGCAGGCGGUCGUGUGUGUCAGGUGUGAAAUCUCGGAGCUCAACUCCGAAACUGCGCCUGAAACUACACGGCUAGAGUAUCGGAGAGGUGAGCGGAAUUCACGGUGUAGCAGUGAAAUGCGUAGAUAUCGUGAGGAACACCAGAGGCGAAGGCGGCUCACUGGACGAUUACUGACGCUCAGGCACGAAAGCGUGGGGAGCAAAAGGG